CAGCAGUAGGGAAUCUUCCGCAAUGGACGAAAGUCUGACGGAGCAACGCCGCGUGAGUGAUGAAGGUUUUCGGAUCGUAAAACUCUGUUGUUAGGGAAGAACAAGUACCGUUCGAAUAGGGCGGCACCUUGACGGUACCUAACCAGAAAGCCACGGCUAACUACGUGCCAGCAGCCGCGGUAAUACGUAGGUGGCAAGCGUUGUCCGGAAUUAUUGGGCGUAAAGCGCGCGCAGGCGGUUUCUUAAGUCUGAUGUGAAAGCCCCCGGCUCAACCGGGGAGGGUCAUUGGAAACUGGGGAACUUGAGUGCAGAAGAGGAGAGUGGAAUUCCACGUGUAGCGGUGAAAUGCGUAGAGAUGUGGAGGAACACCAGUGGCGAAGGCGACUCUCUGGUCUGUAACUGACGCUGAGGCGCGAAAGCGUGGGGAGCGAACAGGAUUAGAUACCCUG
rnacentral:rRNA from 1 species